rnacentral:rRNA from 1 species
AUUGAACGCUGGCGGCAGGCUUAACACAUGCAAGUCGAGCGGGGUGAUGGUGCUUGCACUAUCACUUAGCGGCGGACGGGUGAGUAAUGCUUAGGAAUCUGCCUAUUAGUGGGGGACAACAUCUCGAAAGGGAUGCUAAUACCGCAUACGUCCUACGGGAGAAAGCAGGGGAUCACUUGUGACCUUGCGCUAAUAGAUGAGCCUAAGUGGGAUUAGCUAGUUGGUGGGGUAAAGGCCUACCAAGGCGACGAUCUGUAGGGGGUCUGAGAGGAUGAACCGCCACACUGGGACUGAGACACGGCCCAGACUCCUACGGGAGGCAGCAGUGGGGAAUAUUGGACAAUGGGGGGAACCCUGAUCCAGCCAUGCCGCGUGUGCGAAGAAGGCCUUAUGGUUGUAAAGCACUUUAAGCGAGGAGGAGGCUCUUUUGGUUAAUACCCAAGAUGAGUGGACGUUACUCGCAGAAUAAGCACCGGCUAACUCUGUGCCAGCCGCCGCAGUAA